rnacentral:lncRNA from 1 species
UAUUGAAAAUAGGAAACAGAUAACACAUGCUACAUAUAGAGUUAACAAUUCUCUAACUGGAUCAACACCCAAUCUUGACAUAACUAUAUAUAUUCAGAUUGAAAGUUACUUAUACUCUUGACCAUGAUGCGUCUGAUCUUUAAGGUGUGCAGCUACUAUUCUGCGGACGAUGGUUCAUAGUAUGAGCCGAGAGCAUAGAUUGAUCUAGGCACAAGUAACCAAGAGGGAAUAGGCUCUAUAGUCAUCCAAAGUGACCUAUCACCAUCCUACAAUCAUGCCCUAUAGCGACACACAGGGCUGGGUACAUCAUGUGCAAGAAACUAAAGAUAGAUCUAAAGCACAGAGCUGCAGAAGUACUCAAAGGCGUCUGCUGUAUCCUCGGAUGCCCCCCAGUCCCACAUUUCUAAAGUUAAAAGUUUGGUUUGCAAAAACAAAAACUAUGUGAAUUAUAUUCGCAUUUA